rnacentral:rRNA from 1 species
CUGAUUAGAAGCUUGCUUCUAUGACGUUAGCGGCGGACGGGUGAGUAACACGUGGGCAACCUGCCUGUAAGACUGGGAUAACUUCGGGAAACCGAAGCUAAUACCGGAUAGGAUCUUCUCCUUCAUGGGAGAUGAUUGAAAGAUGGUUUCGGCUAUCACUUACAGAUGGGCCCGCGGUGCAUUAGCUAGUUGGUGAGGUAACGGCUCACCAAGGCAACGAUGCAUAGCCGACCUGAGAGGGUGAUCGGCCACACUGGGACUGAGACACGGCCCAGACUCCUACGGGAGGCAGCAGUAGGGAAUCUUCCGCAAUGGACGAAAGUCUGACGGAGCAACGCCGCGUGAGUGAUGAAGGCUUUCGGGUCGUAAAACUCUGUUGUUAGGGAAGAACAAGUACGAGAGUAACUGCUCGUACCUUGACGGUACCUAACCAGAAAGCCACGGCUAACUACGUGCCAGCAGCCGCGGUAAUACGUAGGUGGCAAGCGUUAUCCGGAAUUAUUGGGCGUAAAGCGCGCGCAGGCGGUUUCUUAAGUCUGAUGUGAAAGCCCACGGCUCAACCGUGGAGGGUCAUUGGAAACUGGGGAACUUGAGUGCAGAAGAGAAAAGCGGAAUUCCACGUGUAGCGGUGAAAUGCGUAGAGAUGUGGAGGAACACCAGUGGCGAAGGCGGCUUUUUGGUCUGUAACUGACGCUGAGGCGCG